rnacentral:rRNA from 1 species
GACGUAGGGGCAAGCGUUGUUCGGAAUUAUUGGGCGUAAAGCGCUCGUAGGCGGGAUCGAAAGUCCGUGUUGAAAGACCUCGGCUCAACUGAGGGACCGGCUCGGAUACUUCGAUUCUUGAGGCAAUCAGAGGGUGAUGGAAUUCCGAGUGUAGAGGUGAAAUUCGUAGAUAUUCGGAAGAACACCAGUGGCGAAGGCGACUUACUGGACACAUAUUGACGCUGAGGUGCGAAAGCGUGGGGAGCAAACAGG